UCCCCCGUGAGGGGGCAGUCUCGCCUGACAUAGAAAACAGGCAACGAGGGUUGCGUUCGUUACCCCACUGAAGGGAACAACUCAAGCCACGAACUGACGACGACCAUGCAUCACCUGCACAAAUGUCUUGCGAGGUCCAAAGUUUCCUAAGGAUUUCAUUUGUGUUUCAAACCCUGGUGAGGUUCUUCGUUUGUCAUCGAAUUGAGCCGCAUGAUCCACCGCUUGUGCAAGUCCCCGUCUAUUCCUUUGAGUUUUAAUCUUGCGAUCGUACUACCCAGGCGCCUAACUUAACGCGUGUGCUUCGCCUCAAAGAGGGUCGAUACUCCUUAAAGCCAGUUAGGAUCGUUUAGGGCGUGGACUAC
rnacentral:misc_RNA from 1 species